rnacentral:rRNA from 1 species
GAUGAACGCUGGCGGCGUGCUUAACACAUGCAAGUCGAACGAGUGGCGAACGGGUGAGUAACACGUGGGUUACCUUCCCUCCACUCCGGGAUAAGCCUGGGAAACUGGGUCUAAUACUGGAUAGUGUGGGAUGGGCUCGCGGCCUAUCGGCUUGUUGGUGGGGUAAUGACCACCAAGGCGCGACGGGUAGCCGGCCUGAGAGGGUGGACGGCCACAUUGGGACUGAGACACGGCCCAGACUCCUACGGUAGGCAGCAGUGGGGAAUAUUGCACAAUGGGCGCAAGCCUGAUGCAGCCAUGCCGCGUGUAUGAAGAAGGCCUUAGGGUUGUAAAGUACUUUCAGCGGGGAGGCGUUACCCGCAGAAGAAGCACCGGCUAACUCCGUGCCAGCCGCCGCGGUAAUUC